CAGGCCCUUCCCCAGCCGCAUAAGGCGCCGCGCUACCGCGGCGCUUAAAACACGAAAUACAGCUUCCCGCAGCGCUUAAUUAUCCCGCGCGGUGCCUCAAUUAUUAGCGCAGCGUCUUAAAUCAGUAAGCGAUUUCAUCCCUUUGAGAUACCUCAGGUAAAUAUCGAUCGGGGAAGUUUAUGAAUACACUGUGUAGCUAGCUGUUUACCGUGUACUGAUAAGGGUUUAAAAGACGACACGUGUUGAUGAAAGUCUGUGUUUUCACAAGUUUGCGGUUAAUUGGAGCAGGAGUGAUUGGAUUAUAAUUAAUUAAAGAUAAUAAUUAGUCUAUGCAACGAAAUGGGAUAACAGCUGGUGACGGCAUGCAUGGAUUGUGAGAGAGAUUUCAGCAGUUGAAUGUGUAAAGUCCACCCACCAUUCACCGGUGAGCAUGGAAGUGCUUAAUGCCUUACUCAUGGUGUCCAUGCAGGGACAAAAACUGAAUGACUUUAAUUUCAGUGGUGCAGUAAAGGAAUGGCACAGAGCCAAAGACAGACACUUACCAGUAUAUGAAAACAAAAAUGCCUAUGUGUUGUUAGUGUUAGUACAAAAGAAGUGGAAGGACAUAUGUGUUGUUCGAAAAUACAUAUAAAAGAAGUGGACAUCUGUCAUGUCUGUGUAGCGUAUAUGAUAUAUUGAUGGUUAUAUGAUUACGUAAAAAUGUAGAAGUAAUGAAAUA